rnacentral:rRNA from 1 species
UGAGUGACACGUAUCCAACCUGCCGUCUACUCUUGGACAGCCUUCUGAAAGGAAGAUUAAUACAAGAUGGCAUCAUGAGUUCACAUGUUCACAUGAUUAAAGGUAUUCCGGUAGACGAUGGGGAUGCGUUCCAUUAGAUAGUAGGCGGGGUAACGGCCCACCUAGUCUUCGAUGGAUAGGGGUUCUGAGAGGAAGGUCCCCCACAUUGGAACUGAGACACGGUCCAA